AUCUACUGCCAUGCCACCCUGAACACGCCUGAUCUCAUCUGAUCUCAGAAGCUAAGCAGGGUCGAGCCUGGUUAGUACUUGGAUGAGAGACCACCUAGGAAAACCAGGUGCUUUAGGCA
rnacentral:rRNA from 1 species